rnacentral:tRNA from 1 species
GCUUAGGUCGCAGAGAGAUGGUGUUUUACUCUUCGGUGGUGGUGGAAUUGGUAGACACAAGGGAUUUAAAAUCCCUCGGCGUUCGCGCUGUGCCGGUUCAAGUCCGGCCCGGGGCA